rnacentral:rRNA from 1 species
AAUAAACGUUGGCGGUGCGCCUUAUGCAUGCAAGUCAAACGGGGUUAUGGUCUUCGGAUUGUAACCUAGUGGCGAACGGCUGAGUAACACGUAAGUAACCUGCCUUGGAGUAGGAAAUAACUUGCCGAAAGGCGAGCUAAUGUCCUAUGUGGUAAUGAAGCGUAAGCUUCAUUAUUAAAGCCUUCGGGCGCUACAAGAGGGGCUUGCGUCUGGUUAGCUAGUUGGUAGGGUAAUGGCCUACCAAGGCGAUGAUCAGUAGCUGGUCUGAGAGGAUGGCCAGCCAGAUGGGGACUGGGACACGGCCCAACUCCUACGGGUGCUG